rnacentral:lncRNA from 1 species
AUGAAUCACCCCCCGCCCGCCGCUGGGGUGACGCAGCGGUCUGGGCAGCCCGCCUGCCCGCCCGCGGCCACCACCGACUUUCCCAGCAGCAGGGGGCAAGGGGUGGGGGCGUCGGCUCCCGUAGAGGCUGGAGGCCUGGAAAGCAGCCAUCCUCCCCCAACACCGCCUCCUACAGGCAGGGCACCCCGAGGCGCUGUCUGGGCUGCAACCUCCCAGAUGCUUAAGGUCGAGAGACCUCCUGGAGAGGACUGGAACUUCAAGUCCCCGCCCAAACCCGAGGCCACUGCGGGACCCGAGCACGGCGGCCCCUCGCCCCAACUCGCCCCGCGACGGCCAGUCCCCAGAAAAACGAGCUUCAGAAACGAAGAGGGCAGGCAGCACCCACACGUGCUCCUGCAACCAGGAAGUGAAGGGUCGCCUGGGAAGCCCCGGCGGCGCGGAGCUGGCCAAGGGUGGGCGCCGGGACCCUGUACCCUGCAUCACUCUGGGCCAGCCGUAUCCCCCCUGCCCCCCCCCAGCGAGACCCGGGACUGGAGCCGGCGGGCGGAGCGCAGUCCCAGAGUCUCCGAUCCCAACGAACGCCCCGUCAAUGCACUAGCAACACCGCCUGACCUCAUCGCUCAACAAUGCAGGGGUCAGAGCCUGGGGACGGACCUGACAGCCCAGGGCGGGGCAGGGCAGUCAACGGACCCUUGCCUGCCAGCCCUCGAUCCGCAAGCCCGCUGGAGCAAGCCGCAAGCUCGGGAUUCUUCCUUUCUGGAGACCGCGCACAUCCCACGCCCUCAAGGACCCUUCCCUCCAGCUUACGGUUCACGUGCAGAAAAGGAAGGUGCUCACAGAAGGCAGAAGGAAGCCAAGGAAGCGGAGGCACUUACUGGAGAGCUGACUUUCCAGCGGGAGAGAAGAUAAGAGGUGGAUCUGCAAGAAUAAGAGGACAAGAGGUUCUCACCAGAAGUGGAGACGUUGGCUGUGUUGCUGGGAUCACUGACAUAGCUACCAGAGAAGGCCACGAGGCGGAAUUCGUAGAGAACAUCCUGGGGAUGGGGGUCCAAGAAGGGGGUCAAAGCUCAGCACUGCUCACCCCAAGCCCAUUUGGAAAGACUUUGCAGUUGGAAGGUACGGGUGAAGUAGAAAGCCAAGCGGAGGUGAGGAUGGUCAAAUCAGG